GUCCUAGCCGUAAACGGUGCGCGUUUGCCGUAAGAGGAAUCGACCCCUCUUGUGGCGAAGCUAACGCGAUAAACGCGCCGCCUGGGAAGUACGGUCGCAAGAUUAAAACUCAAAGAAAUUGACGGGGGCCUGCACAAGCGGUGGAGUAUGUGGCUCAAUUCGAUGCAACGCGAAGAACCUUACCUGGCCUUGACAUGUGCGUAGUAGAAGGGUGAAAGCCUGACGAGUGUAGCAAUACACAGCGUACACAGGUGCUGCAUGGCUGUCGU
rnacentral:rRNA from 1 species